rnacentral:lncRNA from 1 species
GUAAGGUAACAUCUUAAGGUACUUGACUAUCACUUUUAUAAGCUUCUCCUUGGUUCUGGCGUUCACAUGAGUAAAAGAGACAAACAUGUAUGAUUUACAACUCUAGAUUAACCAACCCAAUCGAUUCAAUAUGUUUAGUCCUUCCACCUUUGUGAUCCCACACUCCUAAUCAUAUGAGCUAAAAUGUUGCACACUCAAUCUUUGGAAGAUAUAUAUAUAUAUAUAAAAACAUAAAUAUAGAUAGAUUAUCUUUCCAUUAGGUUGAGUGAUCUGAUCUGACGAAUGUUUUAAAUGCUACACUCAUGAUCUUAUUAUCCAUCAACUGUGUCUUGCUCACUAUGCUUAAGGAUAGAGAAGAGGAAAUACACUUUUUGUUCUGUUGGUGUUUUCCACCAACAGGGCCCAUGCACUUGAUCUCUGCCUUGUCUCUAUGAGCAGGUACAUUUCGAGCAAAAUAUGAAGGACUUUUAUAACUCCUAGACUCCACCAAGUGAAGAACCUAGAUCUACGAGCACAAACACACUGGAGAUACUGGACACUCAGGCAAUCACUGCCCUGAGAUGCUUGAGGACGUAACUACUGGAGUAACCCUGUUGUGGAAGUAAUUACUGACCUUCUGCC